rnacentral:rRNA from 1 species
AUUGAACGCUGGCGGCAUGCUUUACACAUGCAAGUCGAACGGUAACAGGCCUUCGGUUGCUGACGAGUGUCGGACGGGUGAGUAAUGCAUCGGAACGUGCCCAGUGGUGGGGGAUAACGCAGCGAAAGCUGUGCUAAUACCUCAUGUGAUCUGAUGUUGAAAGCGGCGGACUAGGAUGCAGUAUUUGGCUUUUGGCCUUUCGUGUGGCCGAUGUCAGAUUAGGUAGUUGGUGGGGUAAAGGCCUACCAAGCCGACGAUCUGUAGCUGGUCUGAGAGGACGACCAGCCACACUGGGACUGAGACACGGCCCAGACUCCUACGGGAGGCAGCAGUGGGGAAUUUUGGACAAUGGGCGCAAGCCUGAUCCAGCAAUGCCGCGUGCGGGAAGAAGGCCUUCGGGUUGUAAACCGCUUUUGUACGGAACGAAAAAGCUCUGGCUAAUACCUGGGGCUGAUGACGGUACCGUAAGAGUAAGCACCGGCUAACUACGUG